UCCGAAGGGGGUUAUCGUUGCUCGGAACCACUGGGCGUAAAGCGCACGUAGGCGGAUUGCUAAGUCAGGGGUGAAAUCCUGGAGCUCAACUCCAGAACUGCCCUUGAUACUGGCGACCUUGAGUCCGGGAGAGGUGAGUGGAACUGCGAGUGUAGAGGUGAAAUUCGUAGAUAUUCGCAAGAACACCAGUGGCGAAGGCGGCUCACUGGCCCGGUACUGACGCUGAGGUGCGAAAGCGUGGGUAGAAAACAGG
rnacentral:rRNA from 1 species